CAAGUCUGAGGUCCUUCUACCAGUUCAACUUUGACUCCAGCCAUGGUCUCUGUCGCGUUGAUGCUGCUGCUGACAGCUGCAUCUGGUGUGUUUUGUGUUGAGCUCAUCCAGCCAGACUCAAAGAUCGUUCAGCCUGGAGGGUCUUUGAGCAUCACCUGUCGGGUCUCUGGUUAUUCGUUGACCGAUAGCAGCUAUGCAACAAGUUGGAUCAGACAGCGUGAUGGAAAAACACUGGACUGGAUUUUAACCAUGUGGUACAAUGGGAACUUAGCUCAAAAUAAUGCUCUGAAGAACAAGUUCAGCAGCAACAGAGACACUUCUGCAGGAACAAUAACGAUAACAGGACAGACUCUCCAGCCUGAGGACACAGCUGUUUAUUACUGUGUCAGAUACCGCACAGUGCGACAAAACACCGACAUGCUCACACAAAUACUCAAAAAAGCCAAGCUGAACUUCUACCUGCUGCUGAUGAACGGAGUCCGAGUGGUGUUCACCAAAGCUCUGGCCUUCAGCACCGUCCUCACCAUCAGAGGCCUGAUCUUCUGA